UACGGAGGGAGCGUAGCGUUGUUCGGAUAUACUGGGCGUAAAGCGCACGUAGGCGGCGCAGCAAGUCAGGGGUGAAAUCCCGGAGCUCAACUCCGGAACUGCCUUUGAAACUGCAGUGCUAGAAUCCUGGAGAGGCGAGUGGAAUUCCGAGUGUAGAGGUGAAAUUCGUAGAUAUUCGGAAGAACACCAGUGGCGAAGGCGACUCGCUGGACGGGUAUUGACGCUGAGGUGCGAAAGCGUGGGGAGCAAACAGG
rnacentral:rRNA from 1 species